CUCCCUUCUCCUAGGGAAUACUUUUCCCGACAUAUUCGUGUUUUUCGAAAAAUCUCUUAUUUGAGUAACUAUUGUUCAUUUUCUACGCCAUUUACCUUGAGUGGGAAAAUUAGGCGUUUAGAGGCCCCAGACCAAAACCCAUAAAAAGGACAUCAUGUUCGUGUUCCUUUUCUUGUACAUAGGGGAUUCAUUUUUUAUCUCCUAUGGGGAGUCCAGGAGCCUUUGCCCCAAAAACGGACUUUGGAUUCGUGUUCCUGAGGGCAACCCACACCAAAUCUCUGCGAAUUCGGAGGUGCGCCCUAUAAAGUGCAGUUUACCAUUUUUCUGGUCUCAAACUACACGGCUGAAUAAAAUAAUCUGUUCGAAAUAACAAUUUCGCCCGCACUUCCAGACGAAAUUUUCAAUAAAUAUUUUAAUAUAU